AUUGAACGCUGGCGGCAUGCCUUACACAUGCAAGUCGAACGGCAGCACGGGUGCUUGCACCUGGUGGCGAGUGGCGAACGGGUGAGUAAUACAUCGGAACAUGUCCUGUAGUGGGGGAUAGCCCGGCGAAAGCCGGAUUAAUACCGCAUACGAUCUACGGAUGAAAGCGGGGGACCUUCGGGCCUCGCGCUAUAGGGUUGGCCGAUGGCUGAUUAGCUAGUUGGUGGGGUAAAGGCCUACCAAGGCGACGAUCAGUAGCUGGUCUGAGUGGACGACCAGCCACACUGGGACUGAGACACGGCCCAGACUCCUACGGGAGGCAGCAGUGGGGAAUUUUGGACAAUGGGCGAAAGCCUGAUCCAGCAAUGCCGCGUGUGUGAAGAAGGCCUUCGGGUUGUAAAGCACUUUUGUCCGGAAAGAAAUCCUUGGCCCUAAUACGGUCGGGGGAUGACGGUACCGGAAGAAUAAGCACCGGCUAACUACGUG
rnacentral:rRNA from 1 species